rnacentral:rRNA from 1 species
GAUGAACGCUAGCGGGAGGCCUAACACAUGCAAGCCGAGCGGUAUUGUUUCUUCGGAAAUGAGAGAGCGGCGUACGGGUGCGUAACACGUGUGCAACCUGCCUUUAUCUGGGGGAUAGCCUUUCGAAAGGAAGAUUAAUACUCCAUAAUAUAUUGAACGGCAUCGUUGAAUAUUGAAAGCUCCGGCGGAUAGAGAUGGGCACGCGCAAGAUGAGCUAGGUGGUGAGGUAACGGCUCACCAAGGCGAUGAUCUUUAGGGGGCCUGAGAGGGUGAUCCCCCACACUGGUACUGAGACACGGACCAGACUCCGACGGGAGGCAGCAGUGAGGAAUAUUGGUCAAUGGGUGCAAGCCUGAACCAGCCAUCCCGCGUGAAGGACGACUGCCCUAUGGGUUGUAAACUUCUUUUGUAUAGGGAUAAACCUACCCUCGUGAGGGUAGCUGAAGGUACUAUACGAAUAAGCACCGGCUAACUUCGUGCCAGCCGCCGCGGUAA